rnacentral:rRNA from 1 species
GACGAACGCUGGCGGCGUGCUUAACGCAUGCAAGUCGAACGAAAGGACCUUCUUUUGUUGGGUUCUCGGGUGGCGAACGGGGGAGGAACACGGGAGUAACCUGCCCUUGCCUUUUGGAGAACUUUAAGGAACUGGGGCUUAUUCCGGUAAGGCAUUCCUCCUUCAUGGGGGGGGGUGGGAAGUUUCGGCGGUUGGGGAUUGACUCGCGGCUUAUCAGCUUGGUUGUGGGGUAGUGGCAUACCAAGGCUUUGACGGGUAGCCGGCCUGGGAGGGUGACCGGCCACAUGGGGACUGAGAUACGGCCCAGACUCCUACGGGAGGCAGCAGUGGGGAAUAUUGCACAAUGGGCGGAAGCCUGAGGCAGCAACGCCGCGUGCGGGAUGACGGCCUUCGGGUUGUAAACCGCUGUCGCCUGUGACGAAGCGUGAGUGACGGUAAUGGGUAAAGAAGCACCGGCUAACUACGUG